rnacentral:rRNA from 1 species
CGGGGUUAGGACACUCAUCAGCUGAUGGAAAGGUUAGUUGAAUGGCAUGGGAAGGCCAGUCACAGAAGGUUAGAACCCUGUAAACGAAAACCCGAACAUCACGAGUGAAUCCAGAGUACCACGAAGCACGUGGAAUUUCGUGGGAACACGCGGGGACCACCCCGUAAGGCUAAAUACUCCUUAGCGACCGAUAGAGAACUAGUACCGUGAGGGAAAGGUGAAAAGCACCCCGGAAGGGGAGUGAAAAAGAACCUGAAACCGCAUGCUUACAAUCAGUCACAGCUCCAUAAGAGAGUAGUGGCGUACUUUUUGUAGAACGGACCGGCGAGUUACGUUAGCAAGCGAGGUUAAGGAAACGGAGCCAUAGCGAGAGCGAGUCUGAAAAGGGCGAAAAGUUUGCUGGCGUAGACCCGAAACCAGGUGAUCUACCCAUGAGCAGGUUGAAGCGUUGGUAAAACAACGUGGAGGACCGAACCAGGGAUCGUUGAAAAGAUCUUGGAUGACUUGUGGGUAGGGGUGAAAUUCCAAUCGAACCUGGAGAUAGCUGGUUCUCCUCGAAAUAGCUUUAGGGCUAGCCUUGUGGUAAAGCUUGACGGAGGUAGAGCACUGAAUGGAUGCGGGGGCUUCACCGCCUACCAAAUCUUAUCAAACUCCGAAUGCCGUCAAGAGAAUACACAGGAGUCAGACUAUGGGGGAUAAGCUUCAUAGUCAAAAGGGAAAGAGCCCAGACCGCCGUCUAAGGUCCCAAAAUCAUUGUUAAGUGGAAAAGGAUGUGAAAUCGCUCAGACAACCAGGAUGUUGGCUCAGAAGCAGCCACCAUUAAAAGAGUGCGUAAUAGCUCACUGGUCCAGGGGUUUUGCGCCGAAAAUGUAACGGGGCUCAAACAAUGUACCGAAGACGCGGAAUUAACUAACGUUAAUUGGUAGAGGAGCGUUCUGUAACCGGAGAAGCGUGACGGAAACGACACGUGGAGGGUACAGAAGAGAGAAUGCCGGUAUAAGUACACGAUAAGGCAGGUGAGAAUCCUGCCCGCCGGAAGUCUAAGGAUUCCUGGGGAAGGCUCGUCCGCCCAGGGUAAGUCGGGACCUAAGGCAAGGCCGAAAGGCGUAGUCGAUGGAAAACGGGUAGAUAUUCCCGUACCACCAGUAUAUGAUGACGAAGCAGUGACGCAGAAAGGUAGAGCGAGCGCCCAGUUGGUGAGGCGUUCAAGUGAGUAGGGAGAAGUGCAGGAAAGACCACACUUCGAAAAUCCUGAGACACGAUGACGAGUGAAAAAUAGUAACGAAGUCCUUGAUCCUCCGCUGCCAAGAAAAGCUGCUAAGGAAUAUACAGGUGCCCGUACCGCAAACCGACACAGGUAGACAGGUAGAGAAUACUAAGGCGCGCGAGAUAACUCUUGUUAAGGAACUCUGCAAAAUGAACCCGUAACUUCGGGAGAAGGGUUGCUCCCUAGCGUGAGUAUGRACAAUACAGAGCGCAGGGGGAGUCGCAGUGAAAAGGUCCAGGCGACUGUUUAGCAAAAACACAGGUCAUUGCAAAAUCGYAAGAUGAAGUAUAAUGGCUGACGCCUGCCCGGUGCUGGAAGGUUAAGGGGAAGAGUGCAAGCUUUGAACUGAAGCCCCAGUAAACGGCGGCCGUAACUAUAACGGUCCUAAGGUAGCGAAAUUCCUUGUCGGGUAAGUUCCGACCCGCACGAAAGGCGAAACGAUCUGGACGCUGUCUCAACAAGGGACUCGGUGAAAUUGAAAUACCGGU